rnacentral:rRNA from 1 species
GACGAACGCUGGCGGCGUGCUUAACACAUGCAAGUCGAACGAAGUGGCGAACGGGUGAGUAACGCGUAAUCAACCUGCCCUUCAGAGGGGGACAAACAGUGGAAACGACUGCUAAUACCGCAGACUUAAGGAUGGGAGUGCGUCUGAUUAGCUAGUUGGAGGGGUAACGGCCAACCAAGGCGAUGAUCAGUAGCCGGUAUGAGAUGAUGAACGGCCAGAUUGGGAGUGAGACACGGCCCAGACUCAUACGGGAGGCAGCAGUGGGGAAUCUGCCGCAAUGAACGAAGGUCUGACGGAGCAACGCCGAGAGAGUGAUGACGGCCUUCGGGUGGUAAAGUUCUGUUAAUCGGGAGGCGGUACCGGAAUAGAAAGCCACGGCUAACUACGUGCCAGCCGCCGCGGUAAUUG